GACGAACGCUGGCGGCGUGCUUAACACAUGCAAGUCGAACGGAAAGGCCCUGCUUUUGUGGGGUGCUCGAGUGGCGAACGGGUGAGUAACACGUGAGUAACCUGCCCUUGACUUUGGGAUAACUUCAGGUAACUGGGGCUAAUACCGGAUAGGAGCUCCUGCUGCAUGGUGGGGGUUGGAAAGUUUCGGCGGUUGGGGAUGGACUCGCGGCUUAUCAGCUUGUUGGUGGGGUAGUGGCUUACCAAGGCUUUGACGGGUAGCCGGCCUGAGAGGGUGACCGGCCACAUUGGGACUGAGAGACGGCCCAGACUCCUACGGGAGGCAGCAGUGGGGAAUAUUGCACAAUGGGCGGAAGCCUGAUGCAGCAACUCCGCGUGCGGGAUGACGGCCUUCGGGUUGUAAACCGCUUUCGCCUGUGACGAAGCGUGAGUGACGGUAAUGGGUAAAGAAGCACCGGCUAACUACGUG
rnacentral:rRNA from 1 species